AACUUUCAACAACGGAUCUCUUGGUUCUGGCAUCGAUGAAGAACGCAGCGAAAUGCGAUAAGUAAUGUGAAUUGCAGAAUUCCGUGAAUCAUCGAAUCUUUGAACGCACAUUGCGCCCCUUGGUAUUCCGGGGGGCAUGCCUGUUCGAGCGUCAUGU
rnacentral:rRNA from 1 species